CUGCACAAACCGAAGGCUUUUU
rnacentral:miRNA from 1 species